AGCCUAUCUAAAAAUGGUGAAGGAAAAGGAAGUUAUGAGGAGCAACCUUGCAAUAAUAAGAACAUUUCAAGCUCGGAAGAGGGAUCAUGAAACUUUUUCCUGUUCACUUUGGAUACAUGGGAUACCAGGGAGUACAUGAUUUCAGAUUCAGGAUCUCAAAACCAAAAGAAUAACAAUGCAAAGAGUGUGUCUCGAUUUUUAAAGGCACUCUUCUAUUUUAUGCGAUUAAA
rnacentral:misc_RNA from 1 species